CAGAAAUUAUAAAGCUUUGGAGGAUUGAUGGAAGUAUUGAGCACCCUGGUUCUUGUUAAAUGUCAGCCUUAGCUCAGUGGUCGUUGCCCUGUUGUCUCUGAACCAAGAGGUUAUGAGAUGAGUCCUUCUUCUAGAGUUAAGCACACCUCUUGGCUGACAUUUCAGAGUUGUUUUGAUGGAAAUACUGACUUCUAACUUACUAAAAGACAUUGAACUACAAUGAUGUUUGCCUUUUCAGCACUCAGCAUCGGACACACUUCCAGAACACUAACUCCACUGGGGACAGAAAUAGACGCAUCCAGACCACAACUGUAUGCCCAGGAGAUACUGGCGCUGUUCAUUUCAACAAACUGGAAAUCCUGUGGAAAUACAGGAACCAUUGUUUAGCAGAGACCUGUGAUAAAAUGAGCCUGCAGAGAUUCGACAUGUCAUUAAAAAUCUUGACAAAGUUCAAUCGAUGUGUGAUGGAAAGAAUACUGACUGGCUGCAUUAUGGCCUGAGAUGGGAUCACCAACACCUUUGAGUGGAAAAUCCUAUGAAAGAUGCUGAAUGAUCUGCUGAGGAUAUCCGACUUCUCAGGUUUCCAGUAGCUGCAGCAAUUUAAUAUUUUGCUUUUGGAAGAGAGAAAUCUUGCAUGGUGUGGUAUACCCCACUUUACCUUCAUCAACACGAGAAAUUCUGCAGGCGCAGGGAAUCCAAAGUAAUACAGGCACAAUGCUGGAGGAACGCAGCAGGUCAGACAGCAUCUCUGAGACUCUUCUUCAGGAUUGGAAGGAAGGGGGAAGACACCAGAAUAAAAAGUCUCAUCAUGGCGCAAGAGGAGGCCAUGGACCAACAUAUUGGAACAGAAAUGGGAAUCAGAAUUAAAAUGUUUGGCUACCAGGAAGUUCUGUUGGUGGUUGGAGUGGAGGUGCUCGACGAAGCGGUCCCCAAUUUACGGCGGGUCUUACCAACGUAGAGGAAACCGCAUCAGGAGCAGCAGACACAAUGGACGACCCUAGCAGAUUCACAGAAUUCCUGCCACAACACUAGGAUAAAUCUUACAGAAAAAAGUGGAAGUUAAGAAAUUGUUUGUUCAGAAAGAAGUCAAAAGCAAAAUCCUGCAAUUGUUGGAAAUCUCAAAUACGAAAAAGGAAAUGGAAGAAAUGCUGUGCAGUUGCACCUGACCUGCUGAAUAUUUCCAGCACGUUGUUUUAUUUGAAAAAGCAAUUCAUUGGAUUGAAUUUUCCCAAUCUUUCUCUACAUCCCUGAAAUCUUUCUUUUCCUAUGGUAUGUCUUAUAUCUUUUAAGAGUUAAUAUUGAAUCUGCUUCUACCACCCUUUAAGUUGAAAUAGUAUCCUGUGAAAUUCUUACUGCAUCCGUCUUCGCUUUUAUUGUUAACUUUUAAAUCUAAAACCCCUAAUGACUGAUAUUCUGUUAGUGGAAAUUGUUUCUUUUUACUUAAAUGAUAAAAGCUCCACUUAAUUUCAGAACCAGAAUCAGUUUUAUUAUCACUGGCAUAUGUUGUGAAAUUUGUUGUUUUGUGGCAGCAGCGCACUGCAGUGCAUAAUAAUAAAUACUAUAAAAUUACAAUAUGUAUACAAAAAAAGAAAAUUUAAUUAAAUAAGUAGUGCAAAAACUGAGAAACAAAAUUCCUGAGGUAGCGUUCGUGGGUUCAUUGUCCAUUCAGAAAUCCUGUGGCAGACGGGAAGAAGCUGCUCCCGAAAUGCUGAGUGUGUGUCUUUAGGCUCCUGUACCUCUUGGAUCAGCCAUGACGAAAUGGUGGAGCAGACUCGAUGGGCCAGAAGGCCUAAUUCUUCUCCUAUGUUUUAUGGCCUUAUGGACUCUUCCUUG